UGCAAUCACCAUUGCUUCUUUCUCCCUAGAUCCCAAGACAAAAGCCUGGUUGAGGAAACACGUAGACCCUGUGUUUGGCUUCCCUCAGUUUGUCCGGUUCAGCUGGAGCACAGCCCAGGCCAUCCUGGAAAAGGAGGCAGAAAGUGUCACGUGGGAGGACUCGGCUGCUGAGGAAGAUCCUGAGCAACCAGGGAAGAUCACAUCCUACUUCAGCCAGGGACCUCAGACCUGCCGCCCGCAGCUCCCCCACAGAUACUUCCAGGAGCGAGGCCUGGAGGCAGUCAGCAGCCUCUAGGAGUAAAUAUGUGUACCUACCCCUAGGAAUGAAGCUCUUCACAGAGUAAACGCUGUGCUUUGUGGCUGAGGGCUGGCAGCUGACUCUUCAAACAGAAUAGGUGUUUCUAGAUUGGUACAGUUUAAUAAUAUUUUAAAGCAAAGUUUCACUGUGUAGCCCUAGUUUGCUGGAACUCACUACGUAGACCAGGCUGGCCUUGAGCUCACUGAGAUCCACCUGCCCCUUGCCUCCCAAGUGUUGGUAUUAAAGGUGUGUGCCACCACCCAGCAAUCAGGCUGUCCUUGAACUCAA